GUGAUCACUCUCAAAUUUCGUAUUUACCUUUCAUUACAAUGGGAAAAUAAGUUGUCAAAGCAUAAAUGAUUCGUUUUAUAAUAUUAUAAGCUCCAAUGAAAGUAAUGUUCAUUGAUAUCAGUUAAUAACAUUUUGUGUUAUUGGGUAAUAAAUAACUCGAAGAUUGUCAUGUAAAAUCCAAGCAGAUAAUAGGCUCUGCAAUCAAGAAACUAGGAUCGUUAAAACUUUCACGCUCAGAGUCUAAGUAAAUUUUAUGAAAGCUCAAAUCUUUAUUAAAGUAUUCAAUCUAUUAUAAUUCAGUUUUAAAUAUAAAUUAUUAUUCAAGUUAAUUUUCUUGUUGCGUAUUUCUUUAUUUAAACGUUGAGAUAGCUUUUCGGAUUGUUUGAAGUUAAAACGCGAGCAAAAUUCUCCAAAAUCUUGGAAAGGCCAUACAAAACGGUUGCGGUUUUAAAGAAAAGAUGAGUAGGUUGAUACCUGUGGAGCGUAAACCGUUCUGCUCACUAGAGUGCACAAAAUUAUAAAGGUUUUUAUACUUUAGAUUCAGAGACGUCUAACUGUUGUUCGAGGCACGCCGUCUUUCCAACAUACUUCAGUGAUACUCUCUUGUUCAUCUCUCUCAACAUGUUAAAUAAAAUUCUGUAGUGAACUGUAAGAUCGUAAGGCUCUUAGUGGUAAGGUGCUGCAAUGGAGAAUUGAAGAUUCGUUGUGUUACGCCACUCUAUAAAAAUAACCCGGAUUCGGAUUUUUUUCUCUCUUUUCUUAAUGCGGUCAUAUAUUCGGACUGAAUAGCAUAAAGUUGAAAGGAUAAAGCGGCCCUACGAUAAUGGUACUUAACCCUCCGAAGAUCGUGGUUGAUCUGACAGAUACCAGGUAUAUUUAAUUCUAAAUAUUUCUAAAUUUAUAAUUGUUCAUUCUUUAUAUUUAAAUAUAGUUUAUAUAUACUGUAAAUAUAUCUAUAUAUUAUACUUUGUGUUAAUUUUAGUACAAUUAAAGACUUUUCAUAUAUUCUUAUAGCCUUUUCGCAAAAAUAAGCACUGUAAUAUAGAUUUUAAGUUACUGUAUCUCUCAAAUACACCGCGACCUGUGAAGGAAUUUUUACGACCGCGACCUCCGCAGGGUUAAUAUAAUUACUUUUUAAAAUUAGUACAUUCUUCAUAUUAGAUUUAAAAAUUUAAAUUUAAAUAAUAGAGACAUCUCUCUUUUAAUAGUUUUAGUCUCAUAAUUGUAAAUUAAUAUUUUAAAACUAAAAAAAAAUAAUACUUACUUUAUCAAUUUUAUGUUAAAAAUUCUCAUUUGUAAAAUUUUGAUGUGAUACAAAAUUAAUAUAAUAAAAAAUUCGAUUUUAUAAGUCAUCAAUAUGACAUUUUAACAGUUUUGGUAAUGAUGAUACAUCUGCUGUCAUAAAAUUAUUUGACAGACAGACUGCAGGAAAGACAUGAUUUAGUAUGGCAUAAUAAUGAAAACCAGCUGCUACAGCAACAAAAAGGUGCCAAAUUGCAUGUGCACAUGGUAUUCUUCCAUCAGAUUUAAAAAACGCAAUGCCAAAAAUAUAAAACAGUCCUCCCAAUUUUAAUUCAGUAAUGUUAUAUUGAUGAUACUGUAAGUAUUAAGGUAUAAAUUUUUAAAUAAUAUACGAUCAUUAUUAUCUAACAUUCUUAGUCAUAGUCUUAUUUUCAAUGUAUAAUUAUAUACUUACUGCAUUAAUAAUUGCAUAACUAGGACCAAUUCCUAUAAUUAAAUAAAAAAUUGUUUCUAACAUUUUAUAUUGUUCAUGGAAGAUUUGUUGAUACACUAUACCCAAUAUUGCCAUAAUCCAAACAGCAUAACGCAUUGUAAAUAAUAAUUCAUCAUUUGGGAAGUGAUUUACAUUUAACCAAGGAAAAUAACUAGCAGCAAUAAAAAUGUAAAUCAUGGCACGAUCACAACGAUGAAGUAUUUCUUUAAGGUGUCUGUAAUAUAAUUAUUUGUUAUUUCAUUAACACAAAAUGAUGGACAACGUUAUAUAAACUAAACUAAGUUAAAAUAUGAAAUAGUAAUUACCUGUUAUUAUUGCAGUAAUGUACACUAUGGAAAAACGUUGAGACCGUAAAAAUAAGAAUCAAGGAUGUGCCAUAUACAUAAGCUGAUACUAAUUGGGUCCAUGUCAUAGAGCGGCGAACCAAUUCCAAGCUACCUAUAACUGAUGGUACAACCCAAAUCCCAUGAGUAGCUACAUUUGCCAUGUGUUCUACAGAAGUAGGUAUAUAUGCUUCGUUACUACAUGCUGGAGGAUUCAUCCAUUUUAUUCUGUAAGAAUAUAAUACAUUGUUUUAGUACAAUUUAUUUCUUUUUAAUAUAUUUAUCUUUAUUUACUAAAUAUUAAAGUAUUGUAUAUCGUAUAUUAUAUAUUUAACAUCGUAAAAUGUUUAAUAUAUGUUUAAUAUUUAUAAUAUACAAGGAAGGAAAUGUACAAAGUACUAUAAAUAUUUUAUUCUGAAAAAAUAAAAAGUUGUUAAUA